CUCGUCCUGCGGAACGCUAGAUCCCGCCACGUGGCCUCGGGGAUCCUCACUGCGCCAGCCCCGCGUGUCGGUCCCGGCCGGGUGCGUGUCCCCUCGGUGUGGGACUGGGGCUCGGCCUCGGCGCUGUUCGGAUUUGUCUCCUCCGGGGUGAAGGCACAGAGUCAAGACUGUCCCCGGGUCCUUGGCACACUCGGGGCUCCCGCCUGCCCAGUAGUCUGGUGACGGGGACAUCGCCUAUUUAGGAAGCGAAUGAGAUCAGAGAUCAAGAGUAGCAGGAUAAUUUCAAUGUUAGCAAGGAAAGGAGGUAAUUUCGCCCACACAGCCGCGUUCUCGGCACAAGUGCCCUUCAAAUGCCACUUUGUACAGAGACUUUUUUUUAAGGUUGGAAGGUGGCUUCUGAGAGCCGAUGACUGCAAGCGAGUCAAGCAGGGCGCUCUGCGCACCCACAGUGGCAGGAUUAGCCAGUGCUUUAUGUUGCCUAGCCUUACUCUGACACAAACCCACCCUGCCUGGGUUUUGUGUCCUGGGCAAAAAUCUGAGUCUCUGGGUCCACACUUGUACAGGGAUUAGAUACCUAACUUCUGUGCUCCGUGAUGUAAAAACACUUUGUUCCUAAGACCAGGCAUAGGUGUCUUCUGAGCACUUGGGAGUCCUGCCUGCACACUGCCGCUUUAACAUCUGUGAGGUCUAAAUUUAGACGUGAGUGAACGAAGGAAGGUACUGCUUGGGUUUUGUUUUUUAAUCGGUAUGUGAACUUGUGCUUGUUGGGUUCCCAUUCUGGCCCAGGGAAUCUUUCUGCUCUAGUACUGUAAAGUGUUGGGACUUAGGGGUACAGCAGUACAGAGAGCCCUUACUCUUCGUGAAGCCCAUUUCAGAGCGAAAACCUUCUGGGCUAUUGUGAACAAUAUCCAGUAUUCCCUGUGCUGCAAAAAAGAAACAUGCCGUAUCUUGUGAACAAUAUCCAGUAUUCCCUGUGCUGCAAAAAAGAAACAUGCCGUAGUUUUAAGGGUUAGGUUUCUAUUGAGUCCUUCGGAUUGACACAGUCUAAGAGCCUAGAGUGAGGGACAGCAUGAGGUCUAAGGACUCCGGACAGAGAAGUUCCAGGACUACAGGUUUCUUCCCCCUCCCUUUUCAGCUUCAGCAAGCGUUGAUUGAUUGAUGCUUCUGAUUUUGAAAUCAAUGAAAGUGCUUCAGCUUGCCUUAAAGAAAUACUGCAGCUAGUCGUUUUUAAACUUGAUAAAUUAUCUGAUUGUGUGACUGAUUCAGUUGGAACGAUGGCACAGAGGGAAUAAAUAAAAUAGAUUCCCAUCUGUCGGAAAUGUAAAGAUCACAGCUUUGUACAGGAGUGUUCAGAGGCAGGACUUAUGUCAACAAAGGCAGUUAGCCCCAAGAAAGGUUGGUGUGUGCCUGUGGUUUUCUUUUUAAUGGGGUGGAGGGAAAGCUAUGGCCUGGUACUUGUGCCAUUGUUGAUGCUUUUUUUUUUUUUCUUACACAGGUGCUGUGUGUUCUGCCCAGAGCGUUAUGAGCACAAGCCUGGUGCUUGAGAUGAGCUAGUGCAACUUCGAGAAGAAAAGGGAAGUGGCAGUGAAAUUACCUGACGUGAGUAGGUCAGAUGUUCCCGACAGCUUGCUCAGGUCUGCCAUCACCUGCCAGCUGCCUUAGCCUGCUUUGAGCACCCAUCUCCAGCCCUGCUCAUGUAGAAAAAGACGCCCCCCCCCCUUACCAUGCACUGUUGCAAAGUAGCCCUGUAGUGUGGCCCCAUGGCUGCCUGAACUUGACCUGAGCAGAUAGCCCCUAGGAAAUAGAACCCCCCCCCCCCCGACUUUUUCAGGAAUUAUGAGGCCAGUUUCCCAUUCUUCCCUAAAUAGUCGACACUGGCCCCUUCCAGGUGACAUCAUAAUAGCAUCCUGGUUACAUCAGGCACAGACCUGGGGGCCUGGCUGGGACUUCUGUUUUGCCCAUAAAAGGGAAAAAAAAUUACCCAUGAAGGAAGAAUCUGCCCUAAACCUUCAAAGGCCCUAGAAAACCUAACUUAACAGCUCUCCCUGGCCAAGAUACUGUUCUCUGCUCCAGCAUCCCUACAGUUGGUGUCCAAUAAACUGUUAACCUGUCU